GGUAUCCUGUGUUGCUUACCCCCGGAAAGGAAUUUGACGGAUUUGGUGUCCCUAUCCGCCUUGCGCCCUUCGGGGUGCGGGGUGGACGCGAGUCGGGCUCCGUGUUCCCCGCGUGUCGAGUGCGUUGACGCUCGGCCGCUGUGGCCCAUGGGGUCUCGGCCGUGCUCUCGGAUGCGGAAUGCUGUGUGUGGGAGCGGGGUCUCGGCCUCUGCUCGUCCAAGCUGCACGCGUUGUCCCUAGACRUGAACGACCGCCUUGCCCGUCUUGAUCGACCGACCGAGUCCACGUCGCGGGGCUUCGGGAGGUCGUCUCAUGCGGGUCUCGGCGUCGGAGAGGAAUGC
rnacentral:misc_RNA from 1 species